rnacentral:lncRNA from 1 species
GUAAAGGAGCUUCAAACUAUGAACGAUCAAGCAUUGGGAAUGAUCUGCGACUAUCUCAAGCCAAAGAUGUUCGAGGAGAAUGCCCAGGUCGUUGAAGCAGGACAACCACUUAAUGCGAUGCUCUAUAUUAUAGCAGGCUCUAUGCAGGCAUACCUGCCAAUUAGGGCUGCUGGAGAGGCAUGCCCCUCAACCUCAUUCGAAACUCUUGAGAAAGGUAUGUUUGUGGGAGAACAACUUCUGGAUUGGGCUGCAAAAACCAAAACUUUUUAUGACCAACUUGUUUCGUUCAAAACUGUCUGAUGUGCUGAAAAAGUAGAAGCCUUUGCUCUCACAGUUAAUGACUUGAAAACUUUAGUGGUCUGCAGAUCUUCCAGAGGAGUUCAAAAUCAGAAGUUUAG